UACGGAGGAUGCGAGCGUUAUCCGGAUUUAUUGGGUUUAAAGGGUGCGUAGGCGGCUUUUUAAGUCAGCGGUGAAAUUUUGCAGCUUAACUGUAACAGUGCCGUUGAUACUGUUUGGCUAGGAUUUGGUUGUAGUGUGCGGAAUGUGUGGUGUAGCGGUGAAAUGCUUAGAUAUCACACAGAACACCGAUUGCGAAGGCAGCACACUAAGUAAUUAUUGACGCUGAGGCACGAAAGUGUGGGGAUCAAACAGGAUUAGAUACCCCUGUA
rnacentral:rRNA from 1 species